rnacentral:rRNA from 1 species
UGGGGAAUCUUGGACAAUGGGCGCAAGCCUGAUCCAGCCAUGCCGCGUGGAUGAUGAAGGCCUUAGGGUUGUAAAAUCCUUUCGUGGGGGACGAUAAUGACGGUACCCCAAGAAGAAGCUCCGGCUAACUUCGUGCCAGCAGCCGCGGUAAUACGAAGGGGGCUAGCGUUGUUCGGAUUUACUGGGCGUAAAGCGCGUGUAGGCGGGUCGUUAAGUUGGGGGUGAAAUCCCGAGGCUCAACCUCGGAACUGCCUUCAAAACUGGCGACCUGGACUCAAGCAGAGGCAAGUGGAAUUGCGAGUGUAGAGGUGAAAUACGUAGAUAUUCGCAGGAACACCAGUGGCGAAGGCGACUUGCUGGGCUUGUAGUGACGCUGAGACGCGAAAGCGUGGGGAGCAAACAGGAUUAGAUACCCCUGUAGUCCCUGAGCGGGCUGGCAAGGCGCAU